AGAUUGUGAAGGGUUCCUGAAUAAGCAGCUUGUCUCCAUCCCCCUCUCUAGGGGCUCUUGGAUGGACCUUGCACUCUAGAAGGGACAAUGGACUUCUGGCUUUGGCCACUUUACUUCCUGCCAGUAUCGGGGGCCCUGAGGAUCCUCCCAGAAGUAAAGGUAGAGGGGGAGCUGGGCGGAUCAGUUACCAUCAAGUGCCCACUUCCUGAAAUGCAUGUGAGGAUAUAUCUGUGCCGGGAGAUGGCUGGAUCUGGAACAUGUGGUACCGUGGUAUCCACCACCAACUUCAUCAAGGCAGAAUACAAGGGCCGAGUUACUCUGAAGCAAUACCCACACAAGAAUCUGUUCCUAGUGGAGGUAACACAGCUGACCGAAAGUGACAGCGGAGUCUAUGCCUGCGGAGCGGGCAUGAACACAGACCGGGGAAAGACCCAGAAAGUCACCCUGAAUGUCCACAGUGGUAGGUUCCUCCGCUGAUUGGAGGCUCAGACUACCCAGAAAAUGUUUCACUUGGGAAGAUUGGGACAGCCAUCUAACUGUAACAGUCUCCUAGACUCUUACACUGUUGCCAUAUAAGCCACAUAAUG
rnacentral:sRNA from 1 species